rnacentral:lncRNA from 1 species
GGGCUGGGGACGGGGGCAGUGCUAAGACGCGCCUCUGCGCAGGGAGAGUUCCUGAGAAGGGCCCAGUGUGACCACGGUGCCCUCAGGGGCCCAGGUGGUCCCAGGUGGCUCAGGCCAGGUCAGCGGUGGGAGAGCCCAGCUGCUUGGAGGCCAGGAGCAGGCGUGUGGCUGCGCUCUCAGACUCUGCCUGCAGCCGUCGGUUGUUGUGUCUCAGGCUCCGCACCUCCUCCUCCAGGGCUGCCCUGUCCGCCUUCUCCUGGGGUGGCCGGGGAAGACAAGAGUCAGAGCCGCCAGCCCCUUUCCUGGGGCAGCCUUGUGACUCCCCCCAAGCCCAGCCCACCCCUCACCUUCUGCAGGUCCUCCUGCAGCUUCCUGAGCAUGGACUCCAAGUGAGAGACCUUCUCUGAGAGGUUCCCAGGCUCUGGCCUGAGGACAUGGGGGUCAAGACUCAGCAAGACCAAGGCAGGGCACAGCGUACCAGCUGACUCUCAGCCCCACCUAAUGAGAGGGGCCCCGCCAGUCUUCUAUGCAUAUGUGGCAGCAGAGCCGGGACAGACCUCCACCCCAGCGGACAGGCAUGAAGUGGGGGGUCAUGUGGGCAGGUAAAGCGGCUGUGGGGAGUUGGGGAGCUUACUCAGCAUCAGACUUUGGAGUUCCCUUAGGGUCUCCGCUCUCUGGGAUGGGCUGUCCUGUGGGGACAGAGGGAUCAGGUGGGCAGUCAGAAAGGGGGCAAGAGCACUGCCCAGGCUUACUGCAGCACCCUGGUGGCCUCACCCUCUCGGGACAGCGACUCCAGAAUGGUGUUGCAAGUGGAGGCGAUCUCCGAGAUGGCCUGCCACUCAUCCUCCAGGGUCCCACUGCCUGCCUCCGACAUGACUGUGGGCACAAGGAUCAGACUCACUCCUGCUGAUGGAGUUCCGCAGAGACAAGGUACGUGGCAGAAAGGAGGCCCUCAGCUCUGGAGCCGGGUUGCCCUUGUCCUCAGAGCCACUGGGACUGCCUGGCCCGUCCUGUGCGACAGAAGUGGAUACCGAUUCAGUGAUGCCCACUGUCACCACUGUGCCACUGGGCUCCAGAGCCCGGUUUCUGCUCACCUGGGUCAGGGGUGCCUCACUGUCAGCACUGGGUACUGAUGGCUUGGCCGUGGUGGCCAGGAGGAGAUCCGGGGUGGUGGU